rnacentral:lncRNA from 1 species
CAUGCCUUCUGCAGUGUUCUAUGAGUCAUAUGGUUCAUCCUGAUUUAGGCUGUAAGCAGAUUGCAUCAUGGCGCGGAUACCAGGAGGUGGGGAUCAUGGGGGUCCAUCCUAGAGGCUGACCCAAGCAGAGGAAAGGAGAUAAUUACUGGAACAAUGUCUCCCCAUAGUGAAAAGGAAACAAGGUCAUAGGUCAAGAGUGAGGAUUGGGAAGAAGGUGUUUGUUAGAGGUUCAUCAGUAUUUCAAGUUUUUCAGUAUCUUUUAAGUGAUGCAGUGCUCAUUGCCACUAACCCUUGUUUGGUCAUAUUAUAAAGGAGGAAAAAAAGCUGUAGUUUUGAUCACUGUUCUAUUGUAAUAAGCACAGCCUGAGCUUUAGUAAAGUGAAAAAACCCCAACUCUGUGUGUAUAUUUUUUUUCAUUUUAAGGACAGUAAUUUUUUCUUUUUGAUUUCAAGUACUUUCUAUGUUUACAGCAUAGAAAGUUUUAUGCUAUAAGCAUCUUUUGGUAAAAUUAGACUACUUUGUCACUUCUGCUUAUGGAAUAGAGUAAAAUACAGAUAAUAACAUUUGCUUAAAGGAGACAUUUAAAAAAUAAGAUGUGGUUUGUCUUAGCCCAAUCAGCCUAAAACCACCAGGGACAACCUGUAAACAAACCAAUUGAGUUUACUGACUCAUUGCAGUGUGGGGACUGCACAACAGAGCAAUUGUGGGGUAUCUCAUCAAACAAAGGAAAAUAUAGGGUUAACAUAAGAUUUUGCUAAAGAGUGGAAUUUAGGUGUGAUGUAAAUGAAAUGAUAUUCUAUGGGCUCUAAGAAAGUAUGGUUGUGUAUAAAAGGGGUCAACCUCAGCUCUGUACUGUGAAAUGGACCUAUGGUUCUUGUCUUAGUCCAUUUUGUGUUGCUCUAGAGGAACAUCUGAGGCUGCGCAAUCUCUAAGGAAAAGAGGUUUAUUUGGCUCACUGCUCUGUGGGCUGUACAAGAAGCAUGGCACCAGCAUCUGCUCCUGGUGAGAGGCUCAGGCUGCUUCCACUCAUGGCAGAAGCUUGCUCUGGCUAACAACCACUAUCAUCAAAGUUGUCUGAGGAAGACCUCCUGUUGCUGUGACUGACGGGACUCUUGGUGGAAGCCCUAUUCCCAUGUGCCCAUGGCUGCAGCUCCCCAAGGAAGCAGGACAUUGUUGGAUUCUCUAAGAAGCUCAGAGGAAGUUACUUCUCACUGUGGUGCCAUAUGGGAUUUGAAGUCGUUCUACUCAUGCUCUGUUUUUCAAUAAAGCUGCUUCUGCCUCU